CAUGUUUCCCCUUAAGGUAAUUGUCGAAGUCUGUUCUCCCUAUGUUUCGCCUUAGGUUAGUGUUAAAGUCUGUUCCCCCCAUGUUUCCCCUGAAGGUUAGGGUCGAAGUCUGUUCCCCCCAUGUUUCCCCUUAAGGUUAGGGUCGAAGUCUGUUUCCCCUUAAGGUUAGGGUCGAAGUCUGUUCCCCCCAUGUUUCCCCUUAAGGUAAUUGUCGAAGUCUGUCCCCCCUAUGUUUCGCCUUAGGUUAGUGUUAAAGUCUGUCUCCCCUAUGUUUCGCCUUAGGUUAGUGUUGAAGUCUGUUCCCCCCAUGUUUCCCCUUAAGGUUAGGGUCGAAGUCUGUUCCCCCCAUGUUUCCCCUUAAGGUUAGGGUCGAAGUCUGUUUCCCCUUAAGGUUAGGGUCGAAGUCUGUUCCCCCCAUGUUUCCCCUUAAGGUAAUUGUCGAAGUCUGUCCCCCCUAUGUUUCGCCUUAGGUUAGUGUUAAAGUCUGUCUCCCCUAUGUUUCGCCUUAGGUUAGUGUUGAAGUCUGUUCCCCCCAUGUUUCCCCUUAAGGUUAGGGUCGAAGUCUGUUCCCCCUAUGUUUCCCCUUAAGGUUAGGGUCGAAGUCUGUUCCCCCCAUGUUUCCCCUUAAGGUAAUUGUCGAAGUCUGUUCUCCCUAUGUUUCGCCUUAGGUUAGUGUUAAAGUCUGUUCCCCCCAUGUUUCCCCUGAAGGUUAGGGUCGAAGUCUGUUCCCCCCAUGUUUCCCCUUAAGGUUAGGGUCGAAGUCUGUUUCCCCUUAAGGUUAGGGUCGAAGUCUGUUCCCCCCAUGUUUCCCCUUAAGGUAAUUGUCGAAGUCUGUCCCCCCUAUGUUUCGCCUUAGGUUAGUGUUAAAGUCUGUCUCCCCUAUGUUUCGCCUUAGGUUAGUG